CCCUCUGGCCAAACACCCAGCAAGAAGGAUGCAAUGACCCAUCUUCCUGGUGGACACAACGGGUACAAAGCACUGGGAAUACAACCUUGAACAAGACAAGAAUCCUGGCCUUCAAGGAACUUCGAACCUUUUGGGGGAUAUGAUAAGACACAUUAGGAAUCACCAUGUUAAUGGUUAUCUUUCUUGAAGGAUAUAAGUCCAGACACAUAUACUCACAGAAAUGAGUUAUUUAAAGAAGACGGUCCAGAUUCCACAGUCCAAAAAAAAAAGAGGUUUGCCCUGCUUCUGAAGGAGUCAGGGUAUGAAUGCAGAGGUCUUCCUGUUGGCUCACAUAUCAGAUCUUCAACGUCAACAUUAAAUGCGAGUGAUGCUUCCCCCUCUGUGAAUGUGGCUUUGGGUAUGGCUAAUCCACACCCUGCACUCUGGCCUUCAGAAGCCCAGGGAGAGAAGCCUCCCAGAAGCAACCUUCCAGAACCUUCUCCAUCCUCCCACCGACCUCCCCAGCCCCUGUCCUCUCUUUGAAUCUCGUUGUCAAGUUCUUCCCGCAGACACCUGGCUCCUUGAGGGGAGGUGCAGCUUUCAUCUGACCAUGCAGGCGUGCUUUGCAGUGGGUAGAGCAGUGCUUUCCUCCUCCCAGCUGCACACUGGAAUCACCUGGAGAGUCCAGAAACUUCCCGCCUCAGUGAAAGAACAUCAGUGUAUCAGCACAGCAAAUAUUCCAAAUGCCAGGCUGGAUUCCCUCCAAUUACCAGGACCUCCAGGCUUCUCCUCCUUUCAAGAACUUUCUGACCCUGGAUCCAGUCUAAAUGUUGGUUAUAAACUCACCUGACAUCCACAGGGCCCUUCCAAAAUACUGUCAAGGCUGACUGCUGGUGCCUGGAACCUGCACACCCUCCUGGGACUCUGCAUCUCUGCUGGGGCUGGUUUCUCCUCUGAGCCACCUUAAGGAAUCCCACCCUGACCCGGUCAGAGCUCACCAUGCCUCCCUCUCCUACUUGCUCAGCAUUUUGUGUCUAUCUAGACUGAAGCCUUUGCUUUCUCUCUGUGAUUAUGGUGAAAGUUCAGUUUGCUUUCCUAUCUCUAGAAUGUCAGCACGAAGGCAGAGGCAUGGUCUCCUGAGUUCCAUAACCCCAAAGCCUAACUCCCUGCCUGCCACACUGAGGGGCUUAGUAGACAUUGACUUACUAAAUUGAAUAGUUGAGUAAUAAUGCUCUUUGAAAUAAUUUGGAGUUAGAUCUUGAGCCUUGUGUGGCCAGAGGAUGGGUGAGGACACAUCAUAAAAACUAAAGGUAACUGAGCAUGCCAGUGGUUGGGGUGAGAAAUUUGCAUGGAGCACUCCAGACACAGAGGCAGCAAAACCCAAGUGCUGGGAAGUCAGAGUGAGAGAGUGAAGGGGCAGUGAGUGCUUCUUUAGGAGCUGGAUCAAAACCUAAGAUGAUCUGGCCACAUGGUGCAGACUGAGCACACACUUGGGAGAGAAAUGGGCCAGGAGGAGAGGAGAGAGGUUCACCACAGGACAGUGGAUGACUGGGAAUAGAAGCCCUCCCCAUGGUGGACCAAGAAGUCUGUGAAGCUGAGAGAAAGACAAAAGAAAUCACGACUUCUGUAGGUAGCUGGGAUGGAAACCUCAGGGGUGACAGGGUCUUUAAAGGAAAUCUCAAGGAAGGCAUCAUGUUCUGGGUGUGCUCCAGGGAUGCUGAGUAAGAAAAGACCAGCCUUUCUGUGUGUGUCUUUACUCUGCCACAAGGCACCUGGGCUCCUAAAUGACCAAUACACAUGUGCUAUACUGGUGCCAAGAAAGAAGGGUGUUUUGUAGGAAAGUCAAGGUGAGAGGAGGUGCCCAGGACUUGGCUCCUUUCUUUGAAGGGUGACGGUGUAAAUUCUCCAUGCUGGGGAUCCUACUGAUGGAUGGAGGCAUGUCGAUCUCAUCAUUUCACAGAGUGGGGAGCUAUGGCCACAACGUGCCUAUCACACAAGUCCAGCCUCACGUCAGCUGGACACCAGCUGUUCUGACACUUGUCAGCACAUGGGGCACCCGGAAGUUCAUGGUGUUCUGCAAAGAACGCCACAAAACAGUGAGCUCAACUUCUUGAAAGUCAUAAUGUGUUGCUAAGUCCGAUCCCAGAUCCUAAAAAUAAUAUGAGGUAGUGGCCAUUGAACAGAAAAAAUUUACAUCUUAAACUUGAAGAUAAGUACAAGUGUACCUUUUUCUACCACUGUUGUUCAGUUUUAUUAUAUUGACAAGCACCUCUGCCCACCCUGUGGGGUAAAACUGUUUGAAAGUGUUUAUGAAAGUUUUAUAUAAAUAUUGGUUGAUCAAAUGUACAAAAUAUGCAUGAUGGCACCAUAUUGUGUAUAAUAGUGACAAAUACAGUCUAUGUGGGUGGAGAAACA
rnacentral:lncRNA from 1 species